CGAGGCACUACGGUGCUGAAGCAACAAAUGCCCUGCUUCCAGGAAAAGCCUCUAAGCAUCAGGUAACAUCAAAUCGUACCCCAAACCGACACAGGUGGUCAGGUAGAGAAUACCAAGGCGCUUGAGAGAACUCGGGUGAAGGAACUAGGCAAAAUGGUGCCGUAACUUCGGGAGAAGGCACGCUGAUAUGUAGGUGAAGUCCCUCGCGGAUGGAGCUGAAAUCAGUCGAAGAUACCAGCUGGCUGCAACUGUUUAUUAAAAACACAGCACUGUGCAAACACGAAAGUGGACGUAUACGGUGUGACGCCUGCCCGGUGCCGGAAGGUUAAUUGAUGGGGUCAGCGCAAGCGAAGCUCUUGAUCGAAGCCCCGGUAAACGGCGGCCGUAACUAUAACGGUCCUAAGGUAGCGAAAUUCCUUGUCGGGUAAGUUCCGACCUGCACGAAUGGCGUAAUGAUGGCCAGGCUGUCUCCACCCGAGACUCAGUGAAAUUGAACUCGCUGUGAAGAUGCAGUGUACCCGCGGCAAGACGGAAAGACCCCGUGAACCUUUACUAUAGCUUGACACUGAACAUUGAGCCUUGAUGUGUAGGAUAGGUGGGAGGCUUAGAAGUGUGGACGCCAGUCUGCAUGGAGCCGACCUUGAAAUACCACCCUUUAAUGUUUGAUGUUCUAACGUUGACCCGUAAUCCGGGUUGCGGACAGUGUCUGGUGGGUAGUUUGACUGGGGCGGUCUCCUCCUAAAGAGUAACGGAGGAGCACGAAGGUUGGCUAAUCCUGGUCGGACAUCAGGAGGUUAGUGCAAUGGCAUAAGCCAGCUUGACUGCGAGCGUGACGGCGCGAGCAGGUGCGAAAGCAGGUCAUAGUGAUCCGGUGGUUCUGAAUGGAAGGGCCAUCGCUCAACGGAUAAAAGGUACUCCGGGGAUAACAGGCUGAUACCGCCCAAGAGUUCAUAUCGACGGCGGUGUUUGGCACCUCGAUGUCGGCUCAUCACAUCCUGGGGCUGAAGUAGGUCCCAAGGGUAUGGCUGUUCGCCAUUUAAAGUGGUACGCGAGCUGGGUUUAGAACGUCGUGAGACAGUUCGGUCCCUAUCUGCCGUGGGCGCUGGAGAACUGAGGGGGGCUGCUCCUAGUACGAGAGGACCGGAGUGGACGCAUCACUGGUGUUCGGGUUGUCAUGCCAAUGGCACUGCCCGGUAGCUAAAUGCGGAAGAGAUAAGUGCUGAAAGCAUCUAAGCACGAAACUUGCC
rnacentral:rRNA from 1 species